UUGUAAACUCAGGGUUUAUUUCCAUAAGAGCAAAAAGAAGAUCUAACACUUCACAAAUCAUUUUGUAGCGCAAUACUGAUUUUUUUGCAGCGGAAGAUGCGCGCGAGGUCAACACGGCACGCGCGCUUCCGUCUGUAGAUCAAUUACUGCUUCCGGUAGUUUUACUCUGAAGAGAAACACAAACAGUUUGUUUAUCGUCGUGGAUUAUACGAUUCGUUUUUAUAUUCAAGACUCAAUGUGCUGCUAUGGUGACCCAACCCCUCAACAUCCAAUGAUGAUCUUUGUCUGCAGCACAUUCACAAAGACUGUUAACAUGAAGACAGGAGGCGACCUGAUGCACAGACCAUCAUUCAUCCAAACUUGACUGAAGUGUUGAGUGUUGAUACAUUAAAGGUUCAUCAGCGGACUGAACGCUGUUCUGUAGAGUCUGUAAUGAAACACAUCACAUCAACAACACUCCGCACAACAAUACAUCAACAAAUCUAACAUACACUCACAAACUUGUGAUUUCACUAUUACAAUAUUGAUUUGACACUGAGAGCGAUAAGAGCAAUGUGAAGACAAAAUGCAUCAUUUCUCAUCAAUAAAACAUCAGAAGUUUUCACGUGUUAGUGUUUAUAUAGCACGUAACUAAUAAAGCCUAUGACUGAGUUUAAGAAAGAAUCAAUAAAUGGAACAAAAUAACAUUUCAAUUUUUUCAUGAAUUAAUUUAACAACUUCAGUCGGGAUUUUUGUGUUUUUAUUGCUUCAAGGCCAGGAACAAUGAAUCUUUACACGUUUAUCACUUUCCUUUUCAUUUUUUGUCUGAAGAGGUGACUAUUUACAGCAUGAAGCCCUUGUAUCCUUUGACCUUUGUAGUGGUUGGUGUGCCAUAAAAUCCCAUUCACACACAAGAAAUGAUUUUUUGAUUGCUGUCCACUGCCGUGACCUCGAAAGUAAAACUUUUAAUUUAGUUACAUAAUUUUUCUUCUUUAACUGGAAAUCCAUAAUCCUCUGACAGACGUGAUGUAAAGGCCACUCUUUAUACGGCACACACAUGUGACUACAUUUACAUUAUUUCAUGUCCAGCAAAACAUUUUCCAACUAAAGGACUUUAAAAAUGUCAUAUGUACCUGAAUUAUUUCUAACACUGGUGUCCUAUUUCUAUUCAUGUGGCCGUCUCUUCUCUGGAGGCUUGAAUAAGUGUCAGACCUCUGCAAGGUUCUGCGUGAUUUUCAGAGAUGAAAAACAUGCUGGGAACAGACAGGGUCGUGAAAAACGUGUUCAUAGUGGACAGACGGCUGUUCAUCGCUGAUCGCUGAUACACUGCAACGAUUCACCUUAUCAAGCACAUUGAGGAGCUCAUAGGAGGAAGUCCGGUGAGGCGUAACAGCACUGCAGGGUUUUCCACAGGCUCACACUUCUUUCCUUUUCUUCUUGCUGGAUUCAGGAGAGACGUGACUGAGUCUCUCAGUGUCAUGUGACCUCAUCCACUGUCUGCUGAACGUGAUCUUCACUCUUCUGCAGACUCUUCUGUCUCUGUCUUCAUUCAACACCUUGUCUAUUGUGUGAUGAAGGCGGUGUUCACUCCAGCAGGAGAUUUUCUCCAUAUCCUGCACACUCUCUCAGAUACACUGGAGAUUCCAGGUGCCUCGUGACCUUCUGACAUCUCCUCAAAGUCAAAUAUUUUGAUGUCCUCAUGUUUUAAAGGGAUGUGCUCUUCAUCAGAGAUCUCCUCUGGUUCAUCAAUGCCUUUCUUUGGGCACAGAACAUUGCUGAACCUAGACCUGACCAACUGCAUCAAACCCAGAUCAUAGCUCUGCCCAGGUUGUGAAUAAUUUUUACACCCCUCGCAUCGCCACUGGACUAUAUCUGACCACCUAUUUAAUAGCUGUAUAGACUAAUAAAUGUAACUAACACAUGUCUUUAGUUUGUAUUUUUUCAAACUAUUUGGCUAUAUCAUGUUUCUACCAAUUAAAGAAAGCCUUUUUUUCCAUGCCAGCAUUUCACUUUGUGCUCAACAACAGUUUUCUCGUGGGUUUGUACAUGUGCAACCAGGAUACCCUCCAUUCCUUUAACAGAACCUGCAUUUGUACUUUCUGCAAGUGCAUAAGGUCCAGGCAAUCUUCCCUCCUUCCAAAUGGUUACAUGAAGCUAGAAGAAGGCUAAAUAAAUGAAUUGAAAUCACUUUUUUUUAUGCAUUUGGCAGACGCUUUUAUCCAAAGCGACUUACAUUGCUUUAUCCUAUACAUUUUACAUAGGUAUUUGCAAUCCCCUGGGAACGAACCCACAACCUUGCAUUGUUAACGCAAUGCUCUUACCACUGAGCUACAGGAAAGCCUUUUCCCAUUAGAGGAAGAGCCAGCUCGAAAAUGCUCAUUGAGCCGUGCGUGUGCGAUAAUCCAGAGACAGUUUGUAUUGAAACACACAGCGUUCACAAGUGCCUUUCAGAUUCAGAUUGUGGCCUGCACCUGAUUUUAAAAUCUCUCAGAAGUUCAGACUGCUGUCACAGGUCCAGAUGAUGUGUGUUUAUCUCAUCUUAGAAUGUUAUUAAAUAUCUGCAGAUGUGGAAACAAAAGGCGAUUAUUUUUUACUGAAUGUGACCCGAGUUAAAUGUGAAGGGGGUUUGCUCAACCGGUCUGAAUUCAGCUCAGUUUGUUACAGGUCUGGUGGACUUGUGCCGGUUGCACCAGCUUUGUAUAAACUUUAACUUUGAUUAGAAUUGCCGCAAAGGGAAUUAAGUUACAAUUUACACUCUGCUGAAUGUGUCCACCAGUGAAUUUAACGUAACGUCUAAACUAAAUAUUUGCAGAAGCCUCCUGUCAGGAGUCACAGUUGAAAUAAAAUAGCAGAUUUACUUAACUAAAUUGACGAAACACAAUCAAUAAACUCAUCAGUCAUAAAAAAUCAUUAAUUUUUAUCAAUGUUUAUUUAUUUUGCGACUAUUAUUUACAUAUAUAAAUACCUAUUGUGUUUAUAAAGAUUAAACAUAACUUCUCAUGAAUUUAAAGGCUUUUAAUGGAUUAUUGAAGGUAAAAAUUAUAUUGUAUGACUACGCAUUACUUUACUGUGAGCAGACGACCUGCUAGUUGUGUUAAAUUAUGUUUUUAUAAAGCAUUAUCAAUAAAUGGGGCCACAGAAAUAAGUCAUUUAUAAACUAGGUAAGCCAGGUUUUACGUUCUAAUUUAGGAGCUUAUAUGAAUGGCUGGUGCAACCCUCUCCUGAUGUCUUGAAUCAGUUUCUUUUGAAAUUUUAUACGGGAAUGAAUCAUAUCAGUUGAUUUUUGUUUUGGUGAAGUGUAUUUGUUGGUGCGGUUUGUGUUGUUUUUUAUUGUUCUCUCACAGUAUUGGUUGGUGUUACUGUACCGGAUCAAUAUUAGCUUAUAUUCUUAUCCUUUGUUUUUAAAUUAAAUGAAACCAGUGAAAUGUGAAAUGGGACCAAGAUGACCAGGACUGAGGUAGAAGAUGCUUAAUAUAAUAUUUCAAGGUUUAGUAUGUUUUGACAGUUUUGUGUUGCUAGUUUUUAGACAUUCCAUCAAAUAAAAUUCAUCCUUCCAAGAGAAAUGAAAUGUAUAUAAAAUAAUUUGGUGUGAUACAAAUGUGCUGUUUAUUGUGGAUUUCAUUCAUGUCUGAACAGUGCAACUCUCUUUUAAAAAAACACUGGAACUUG